UGGCGAACGGGUGAGUAACACGUGGGUGAUCUGCCCUGCACUUUGGGAUAAGCCUGGGAAACUGGGUCUAAUACCGAAUAUGAUCAUCGGCUUCAUGGUCGGUGGUGGAAAGCUUUUGCGGUGUGGGAUGGGCCCGCGGCCUAUCAGCUUGUUGGUGGGGUAAUGGCCUACCAAGGCGACGACGGGUAGCCGGCCUGAGAGGGUGACCGGCCACACUGGGACUGAGAUACGGCCCAGACUCCUACGGGAGGCAGCAGUGGGGAAUAUUGCACAAUGGGCGCAAGCCUGAUGCAGCGACGCCGCGUGAGGGAUGACGGCCUUCGGGUUGUAAACCUCUUUCAGCACAGACGAAGCGCAAGUGACGGUAUGUGCAGAAGAAGGACCGGCCAACUACGUGCCAGCAGCCGCGGUAAUACGUAGGGUCCGAGCGUUGUCCGGAAUUACUGGGCGUAAAGAGCUCG
rnacentral:rRNA from 1 species